rnacentral:rRNA from 1 species
UGGGGAAUAUUGGGCAAUGGGCGAAAGCCUGACCCAGCGACGCCGCGUGAAGGAAGAAGGCCCUCGGGUUGUAAACUUCAGUCAACAGGGAAGAAACAAAUGACGGUACCUGUGGAGGAAGCCACGGCUAACUACGUGCCAGCAGCCGCGGUAAUACGUAGGUGGCAAGCGUUAUCCGGAUUUACUGGGUGUAAAGGGCGUGUAGGCGGAGAUGCAAGUUGGGAGUGAAAUCCAUGGGCUCAACCCAUGAACUGCUUUCAAAAACUGUAUCCCUUGAGUAUCGGAGAGGCAAGCGGAAUUCCUAGUGUAGCGGUGAAAUGCGUAGAUAUUAGGAGGAACACCAGUGGCGAAGGCGGCUUGCUGGACGACAACUGACGCUGAGGCGCGAAAGCGUGGGGAGCAAACAGGAUUAGAUACCC